rnacentral:lncRNA from 1 species
UUUUUCAAAUUAUGAAAAUCUUAAUAAUUAGAUUUUUCAUCAUAUUCUACUCUUUUCUAAUCAGCUCUAACCUUAGAUUUUAGUGAUGUUUAAAUUAUUUUAGGUAAUAUAUUUCAUAACUGAAGAUUCCGCUUGUCUCACAGGAGACUCAGUCAUCACUAACUUUAGUAAGAGGUUAGUAAUAAUCAUGCAAAGAGAUUUAUAAACAGAAGUUUGUACAAAGCUUUCUCCCAACCAUAAAAUAAAAUUUAAGAAGUAUCUUUGACUAUUUUUUUAUGUUUCUACAUAUGGGAUCAUUGUGGUGUAUAACCAAAAGAUGAUUUUUUUUCUUAUAAAAAUUCUUUCAGUAAAUUCUUUUUCCUUAUAAAAAUUCUUUAUAACCAAAAGAUGAUUUUUUUUCUUAUAAAAAUUCUUUCAAUGACAUUCAGAAUCGAGGUAUCUUCUAAUUUCACUUGCUUCAAAUGUAAAACGUUGUCCCUUGCUCUCAAUGGUAAAGUGGCAGUAAUUGGUAGCUUUGGUAUCUAUGUAAUUCUAAUGAUCCUCCCUUAGCUUCUGCUCCCUCAGUGCCACCACUCCCGCCAAACACACCCACCCCACCACACCCACACACUCUCUCUCUUACACACACACAAUAGUAGUAAUAUAGGCAGUUUCUGCUGACAUAAACUGACCACCGUGGAACAGCUGACUAGCAAAGUGGCCCAAUGGACCUGGGAGCUUUCUACUCUCUACAGUUGCUUUGUAGGCUUUCCCUACUUUCUGCAUACCUCUGCCACAGUCCGUUCCAAUACACAGACAUUCUUCUCUCAACCCUCAGCUCCAUAUAAUCUUCCAAGCCUCAGCCCUAUCACACCCCUACUUGCAAUGAUGUACCUGAGUGGUUAUAGGCAGUUCUUACAUGAGCCUGAUUUCGUUUUCCUACAAAAACCUAGGCAAACCUGUUCCACCUGUAGUGUAUUCACUCCCUGGGUGAUAUGCAAUACCUAUGAAAUGUGCCUGGGUUGUUAACAGAUCUCAGAGGAGUGGGUCAGUGGUGGGAAGGGAAGGCAAAAAGACAGCUGGCAGUACGAGUAAUUUUUACAAAUGGAUUUAUUUUUUCAUCCUUACUUAUGCACCAACCUUCUAAAAAUCCUAAAUAAAUAGGAUUUUUAUGUUAUAUUUAAAGAUAAGCAAGUAUUGAAAGAACUUAACUAUCAUUAUAAGCCAUGGAUCAGGAAGAAAAAAAUCCCUGGAACAAACUAUAGGACAUUGAAGCAGACAAACCAACCCCUGAGUCCUGUUGAAGGAGAAAGGUCAGCAAGAAUGAGUCCUGGGUUUAGAAGCCUUUCAAAGAGGGUGCUUCCCCCAAACCUCUUAUCCUCUCUCCCUCUGAUGCCAGUUUUUAACAUCAAGCAUCAGUCUUAGCCCUGCCAGAAACCUGCCUGGGAAGCUUGAGGCUGGAACUCUAAAAUACUGGAAGAUGUGUAACACAGAUCCAACACAAUAAAAUAUGCUGCUAGACAAAUAAAUUAGGAUCUGAUUUUUGUCCCUCUGAUGAUGAUCUCUCAUAGGAGUAUGAAUAAAGCAUUAUACUUCAGUAAAACAUUAUAAGUGAAAUUAGCCUCUGCAAACCUGUAUUUUUUUUCAUACAGCUGAAUCUCAAGAAGUCCCAGGUUUGAAGAUCCCUAGGAUGCAGAGAAUUCCAUUCAUUUCCCAUAGAAGGGAAACAUUCAGAAUUUAACCAUUUCCUCCAGAACAGUUUAAUAAAAACUGGAAAAAUACGGAGAUUUCUUUCUCUAUAAGUGAAUCAUUAGUCACUGAGUACAUUUCUUUAUUUGGCUGGUGAAAGAGCUGCAUUUCAUUCUACAAGUCCAACUUGCUCAGGAGCUGUAGGAGAAAAUGGGUAAUUUUUUAAAAAGUAGAAAAACGAAAACAUCCUAAGAUUGAAAAUAGAGACUUGGAAAGGAUCUCUGGAGAAGUCUGAUGGGAAAUGCAAAACCAUGGACCUCUCUUAAAUUCUGAACUGAUAGAGUUGCUACAGUAAAAGAGACUGAAGCAGCAACCACUGUCCAUUAUAAGUGCUUCCAUAAUAGCACUUACUAUGGGCUGGCCACUGGACUAAGAGUUUUAUAUACGCUGUCCUGUUUCAUCCUUACUAGAGUCCUACAAGUUUGGUUUUCCCAUUCCCAUUUUUUGUUGGGCAAUAGAGAGACACAAAGAUACUUGUUAUUUUGCCUUGAGUCUCAAGGUAAGAUUUGGGCCUAUUUCCAAAGUCCGUAUUGUUUUAAGUAAGCACUUCUGCCUCUCAAGGUCCAGGAAUGUUAGUAAAAUAUGUGUUUUCUGAAAACUCAUUUUUUUUUUCUUCGAGUGUUUAUUCAGCUUUAUUGGGGGGGGUCACUCUUAUUUUCAAAGCCUCACUUGAAAAGCUAUAGCCUCGUUUCAGCUAAAUAAAGGGAAAAAGAAUUUCCUUUCUCAAUAAAAACAGAAGUGUACUUACUACCUUGCUGUGUGCUCUUUGCAAAAUGUGUCUUUGGGAGGCCAGAUGCCUCAGGUGUAUGUGAACGAGGCUGGCCUGGAGAUCGCCGAAGUCUGUGAUGUUUCCUAGCCUGGUGUGCUUGAGAGUGUCUCAGAACUUUGCAAAGUCAGGGAAACUGGGACUGAAAGAAAGGUGAAAACUCAAGGGGGAGACUGGGGAAAACCAUAAAUGUGAUCCCUUCCUGACUUCAGUUUUCUUUCACCGUUGGUAUUCAUUCGAUUCAACUCCUCAGAUCCCAGAGGACAGAGUAUUACAAAAACAGCAUCCAUGGCCACUCUGGCCUACACCUCAGGAAGAGGAGGGAGGGGAAACUGCAUAAAUAAAUAAUGUAACAGUGGAACUAGGCAAUUUUCUGGCCUUUGGGGGCCACAAGAGAUUGCCAAUUUGGACCACACAGGGCUCUGGGGCUUGUAAAACAGCAAACCACAACAUGGUGUCCACUUGAAGCCUUUGACCGCAGUGUGGCUGGCCAGAAGCUGACUAACCAAAACUCCUACAUGGUACAGCACAGCCAGCACAGUCUCUGGAAAUCCUAGUCCUCUCCAGGGUGGGCUCAGGAUCUUCUGGAUCUGUGGUUUCCCAAGGCCAGACUGAGGAUUUGUGUCUCUCAAUGUCAAAAUUUUCAUGAGUCUGCUGCAAGACACACAAAAAAGAAAGGGUGUGUUUUCCAUAAAGUUCAAUUUAUUCAUGUAACGGGCUGCCCUUCAUUCUGUUUUGGUUUUUUUUUCCCCUACUUUUUAAAAUUAGGAGUUCCCAUCAUCGUGGCUCAACAGUAAUGACCCUGACUAGUAUCCAUGAGGACUCAAGUUCAAUCCCUGGUGUCACUCAGUGGGUUAAGGAUCCAGCAUCACCGUGAGUUGUGGUGUAGGUUGCAGAUGCUGCUUGGAUCCCGCAUUGCUAUGGCUGUGGCGUAGACCAGUGGCUACAGCUCUGAUUCAACCCCUGGCCUGGGAACCUCCAUAUGCUGCAGGUGUGGCCCCAAAAAGGCAAAAAAUAAUAGACUGUUCUUUCUCUUGUUAUAUUGAUAAUAAAUGGUGUAUUGUAUGUGUUUUUUAUUCUAUGUUCUUUGCUUAGAAAACCUAUAUCAGGUCCCAGACUUAUUUUUGAAAUUUCACUGAUCUGUGAAAGCAAAUGAGGUAGGCAUUGUUUUAAGGUGUGAGGAAGGAAUGGAACCUCUUGUGACCUCCUGCUGCACAAAUGGGGCUACAAUGCUUAUACCUAAAGAAAGGUAACUUCUGAACCAUCUGGAAGGUUUGGAAAUUUGAGCCAUUUGCCCUAGGUUCAUGGCAUCUCAUUUUUAUCUCUACUUUUCAACUGUGAUUCAAUAACAGGCUUAGAGGAAAGCUCAGUUUGUCAGUACUAAAAAUACGAAUUUUUUAAAAAAUAUCUAAGACAUCUAGAGAUACUCAACUUUUAAACCUUGAUAAAAUAGAAUGGCUGUUCUUUUAUCGCUUUUCACUUUGAAGAAUGCUCACAGUAUUUACUGCAACCUAAUUUUACUGGAUACUAAUUAUGAUAUGGGUGGGAAUAGGAGGUCAUUGACAACCAAGCUACCAAUUUCUGAGCACAUCCUACAUGCAAACCAGUUUUUUAUGUAUUUUCUCCCAACCUUAUACUGCAAUCUGAAAGUACAGAGACAUGCCACUUACAGUGGUAGCGUAAAACGAUAGAAUUAAAGAGGAUUUUGGCAUUCAAUAAAUCUGACUAUGAAUCUCAGCUUUGGUGGCCGUGGACAACUAAUUGAAGUUUUCCCUCACUUAUGAAAUGAAGCCACUGGUGAUAGUCCAUGGAGUUAUUACAAGAAAUACAGAGUAUAGCAGGUGUGAAGUAUCCUAUCUAACGCCUCGUAUAUAGGAGGAACUCAAUAUUCCACUAGAUAACUUUAUCAAGUUUAUGAUUCUUGUAAGUAGCAGAGCUGAGAGCUCCAGCCUCUGGCUCAUCGUCUAGGAUCCCUGCAAUAUAGCAAGAAUAACUGGUUCAUCGAGCAGGCUGAGCUCAGUGGGGCAUAAACCUGACAUUGUUGUGGUUUUCUCCAUUCACUACCUUUAAAUAUUCUGUCAAAGCUCUGUCUCUCCUCCCUUAAUGGUAUCUCAGGAAGUUCCACAGCAUUAGAUUCACAGAUAUAAAAAUGUCCAGUAAAUUUAGUCUGGCCAGUUUUAAAGUCUCAAUAUAACUCUUUCAGAUUGUGACCCUGCAAUCCUUCCUAUUGCCACAUGAAUAUUUAUAAGACUUACUUUUACAGCCAAAUCGUGAAAUACCCUCCCUCCCUACUCUGACCUGCCCUCUGUCCAAGUGCAGAGACAUUCACACAAUGCUCUGAGGAUGAAGAGGACGCAGAUGAGCAGUUAGGGCUUUACCUGCUCUGUGUUCCUGCUGAUUUGGCAUAGUGCCUGUUUAAGGUCUGCCCCCUCCCCUUCUCUAAUACUCAAGAAAAGGCCUGCAUGUGUCACCUAUUACUUGCAACAAAUUUACCACAAAGGUGGAGCUUAAACAAAACACAUUUAUUGCCUCAAAAUUUCUCUGGGUUACGCAGCUAGGGAUGACUUCACUGGAUUAUCUGUUGGGGUCUCUCAGGUCUUCAUUCAAUGUAUCAGCUGGGUCUGCAAUCUCAUUUGAGACUCAGCUGGGAAAGGACAUGCUUUUGUUAGCAGAAUUCACUUCCUUGUGGCCUUAUGACUGAGGCCUUUGGUUUCUUGCUGCCCUCCAGCCAGAAGCUGUCCACAGUCCCCUGUUACAUGGGCCUCCCAACAUGGCAGCCCAUAACAAGACUGCUUGCUUCUUCAAAGAUCCAGCAAGAUGGGUGCUAAGAUCUUAUAUAACAUACCAUGUAAUCACACA